CAGUAGCCGCGGGAAUACGUAGGCGGCAAGCGUUGUCCGGAAUUAUUGGGCGUAAAGGGCUCGCAGGCGGUUUCUUAAGUCUGAUGUGAAAGCCCCCGGCUCAACCGGGGAGGGUCAUUGGAAACUGGGAAACUUGAGUGCAGAAGAGGAGAGUGGAAUUCCACGUGUAGCGGUGAAAUGCGUAGAGAUGUGGAGGAACACCAGUGGCGAAGGCGACUCUCUGGUCUGUAACUGACACUGAGGAGCGAAAGCGUGGGGAGCGAACAGGAUUAGAUACCCCCGUAGUCCCUGUCUCUUAUAC
rnacentral:rRNA from 1 species